UGGGGGGUCUCCGCCUGAUGUCAAGCGUCAACAACGUGUCUUCAAUGAAGUGCCAUCUCAACAGAAGUGUGUCAAGUCGUCGUUAGACAUCCGUACGUGAAACUUUACUUUGCAUCAGCCACCGGGCCACCAACAAUGACGUUGCUACUCAACCCAAACAAGGUCCCAACACGAGCAGCGAAAUGCACGGCCACAGGGCAGUGAAGGAGGCCUGUGCAUAAACAAAUAUAUAUAAGAAACUGUUAGAAUUUUAACAGUUCCAGAGCAACGACUACAUUUUUUUCUACAUUCAGAUGCUCAAGCCAGACAACCGCGUCAGGAGCAGUAGCGGAGUCGUGCCACGCUGUGAUGAAGUCUCUUUCCUCGUUAUUUGUGGAUCGACCUUUGCAUCGUUCAACGUUCUACGGUCCGUUCUGGGUGACCACGGUCGCGCGCUACUACUGGAGAGUUUUUAGUUUUGCAUUUUUCCAUAAGGCAUCUGCCAUGGUUUGUGCUGAUGCGGUUCAGGGUGGCCCAUGAGCUUCGUGGAAGCUCAAACCCAGGUGUCUUCACAGGGGUAACAAAUCUACGCCGUUCACGUGCCAAACGAAGUAGAGCCGUGUCCAAUUUUCUCGUGUAUAGAGUGCUUCUGCAUCGUUGAUGCUAGGGAUGAGUUUCGGAUUUAAAGCUAUUGGUUUUGCAAAUAUUCUGAGGCCCAUUUAUACUGAAUAUUUUUCAGAUUGUCUGGUUAAAACAUUUAAUUGUAUUUGUCUUCACUGUUAGGCCAUUAACUUGUAAUAACACUAAAUUAUAUAUUUUUAUUCAAACCAUGUGUCAUAUUCCAUUCAUCGGUAUUUCGUUCUAUUCCAUUCAUUUGAAUUAUUGUUAUUUAUACCCGGUAAACUUUUAUAGAAACUAAAAUUUUUUCUUUGGGAAAAGCAAACAAAAAUACAAUGGAUAUGCACUGCAACACAAUCCCCUGCAGGAGCUGCUGCUGCUGCUUAAUCGUUCGCGGACUGCACUUGCGAUCCUGAGGUCGUCGUUUUGAUCUCCCAGCGUGGCAGCUCAAACAAUGAAAGCGAAUCUUUAAAAACAAAAUCCUACCUCCACCUCUGUCCACCCAGGUCGCGUGUGGUGGAGUAAAUGAUGGUUACUCCCACCAGGACGCCUGUUCUGUGUGAACCAAUUACUCUCUAAAGGGGCUCUACGGAGCAGUACUCCCAAGCAAAUCAUUUGCAUUGCUGUACAUUCAAUUCGUAUAUUAUUAACAAAAUCCAAGUACAUCAUGGAACCUCUCUUGCCAGUA